UUUUGAAGUUGCAGCUUUGCAGUGGGAGGCGCAGAUCUGUGCUUGCUUUUAACCUACUUAAGCUCAUCGUGCGUUUAAACCUCCGCCUUCCUCUCACGAGAUGCCGAAGGUGCGCGCCCCCCCAGCCCCUCCGCCGCCGAGCGGGGCGGGCGGCCCGGCCCCGCGCUCCGUGUGCCAGGAGUGUCUACAAGUCCAAUAUUGGAGCAGGAACUGUGGGGCCAGCUUCAUGCAGAUCCUCCUCAGCACACAGCCUUUAAAAAGAGAGGACAGAGUGGGAAGAAAACCAGACAGCACAGAUGAUUUGUUUAAGGCCACAGAAUUCUCCUGAAUCCUAGGCAAACAGCACGGCUCUUCAUGCUGACACCUGGAAAGGCUGGAGGAGCUGGAGGAGCCGGAGUUACUGCUGUAUUGAGCUGAGAUAGAUCUGAGGCUGGCUACAUCCAUGCGUGUAGAGCUUUUGAUUGGAUCUGCUGUUUUGCCUAUGGCAAUCUUUACCGCAAACAUCCUUUGUCUGUACAUCAUUUGAGCAUCUAUACAUGUUCAUUGCCUUAGGAAACUGCAGUUGCACCUGAGAGAAAAUAGAAGCCAACCUGGAAGAAAAAGAAAAGAGAUAUAUAAUGGCCUUGCUAGAGGGAAAGGAAAAUCAGAUUAAUUUAUAUGCUCUGGCUGAUCUCUAAUUGUUUCCUUAAAGAUGAAUUAAAAGCCUUUUUAUUCACAAAGAGCUGAGUUCAGGGCCUUGAACAUCUCCUGUUAGAGUUGAAAACAUCACUGAUAAAGAGUUGCUUUUCCUAUCUUCCCUUAAGUGUCUACUAUUGCAAUGAAAAACAGAUCACUAAAUGCAGCAAUUGGCAGGUAAGUAGAAGUGAUAAUAUUCUUUAAUAUUGAGAGCAAUAUCCUUGGCUGAUAUAAAUAGGUGUCAUCUGCUGACUUCAGUAGAGCUGUGCUUUUUUACCCCAGCUGAGGAUGCGGAUCCUAGAAUCUUAGCUAUGGGCAACUGUCAUUUUAAAUCUGGAGAUAUAAUGUGAUACCUAUCAUGGUUUUCAACAUUUCGAAGCUUAGUGGAGAAUAUUCUUGUGGUUCUUGAAUCUACUAAGGAUAAAGCCUAAGAAAACCCUGAGCACUGAGUUUUCUCUUUCUCUGGGAUAAUGCUUUUUGCUUAUGUCCUCUGUUAUGUCAACAGAGGGUGACAAGAUUAAUGACAUGCAGACCUUUUCCCCUCUAGAGCAGCAGUUCAUCUCUAGUUCACACUGCUACCUACUGAAGGUCAUUUCACCUAACAAAAAAAUGAUCUCAUCCAGUUCAUGGCAGGUAAGAAUUCACAAGGCUACAACCAUGGAAAUGGAGCUUUCACCGUCACUAAGUUGAGUGAGUAGGCAUGGAGGCAGAAUAACACACCAAAAACAGCUCCUGUGGGACACCUCUGGAAAGCUGGGCAGACUUUUCUGUCCAUGACUGAAAGACACCGAGAUUCCCAGUCUAUUAUCUUUCACCAGAAUAACAUUCAGUCAAAGAUAACAGCAAUUGUGAUGAAGAGUAAAUACCUUGGUGGAAGAGUGAUGUGAAGCAAGCUGAUGCAUACUGGAAGCAAAACCACAGAACCACAGCUGAAGGCUGAAUCACUGCUAUAUCUAAUUAAGCACAUCAGUUAAGAUUUGCAAGCUUCCAACUGUCUGAGAAGGGCUGAGAUUGCUAAUAUCAAUCUGUUAUUGUCCUCGCUGCUCGGAAAAGGUGAUGGUGAUAAGAUUAAAGAAAUAACAUUUUGUGUUAAUAGGGUUAGUAGUUUUCUGGUUAUUUUAGGGGGGGAAGGUCAGGCAGGUAGGUAAGUAAUAUUACAUCAUUGUCCAAUUUGGCCCACUGAAUAAUGUCAAGGUAAAGAAAUAAAUUGCUUAUAUUAAAAGUGGUGGUGAAUAACAGCAGCCCCUUGGUUUUCUAAUGUGGUGUCAUUUGAAUUGGAUAUGUUAUUGAAUCAGACAAAAUAUGUAUUUAUGCAUUAGGUUUCUUCAAAAUUCCUACUAUGGUUUUUAACAAGAUGCUGGAAAAAUAGACUGAAAUGCCGAUCUUUUAUUCCCAGGUUGUUUGUGACAGAGAUUUAGCAAUGCCCUGUGCUGAAUGUGAUUCAUGUAAGGUACAGACAGCAGAUACUGAAUUUGAAAGGGGCCUAAUCAGCAAUCUUAGUAAUAAAGAGGUAUCCUAACUCAAAAAUGUUGAUGCACGAAUGAACAUAAUCCUCUGUGUGCUGAGUUACUGUUUAGGGGACACUUGUACUGUAGCAACUACAUUGAAUCAGUUCAGUGCCAUUCACAAGCAAAUUAAGUUGUUAAAUCCCACUCUAUGUGUGUGUCUAAAUGUAUGUAUAGAUAUUAUUUAUUUAUUUUCUGCUUUUCUUAUAUUUUUCCUCUUCCCACUGUAUUCAACUCAUCCCUGGUGUCACUCCAUUGAAGUCAACAGCGAGGUAUCAAGGAGGAAUUUUGCUUUUUUUACUAAAUUUUAAGGAUAAAACUUCCUGUAACAUCUGGUGCGACCAUGCACAGCUCUGAAGAGAACUACUCUAAUCCAGGCAGGGGACUUGUGGGGUGUGGGGGAAGUGUCUCCUGGCCAGAGCAAACAGCUGAAAUCCAGUCUGCGUAGGGUACAAUACUGGGUACCACUGAGUAAGACAGCAUACAGAAAUGCUAAAUAAACAUUCCUCCUGGCCUAUGGAAGUCAAAAAGUGGGUUUUGAGGAACCAUUUGAAGAAGGGUGGUGGGAGAUGUCCUUCUGUACGGCUCAGGGCGGUACUCCAGGUACAGGUGGCGAAGGGCAGUGGUAAAAGAGGGAUGCUGCAGGAGAGGUGAGAGGACUGUGUCAGCUCAUCUCAUUGAUGGCUGACUCAACAAGGAGUCUUUGUGCGUCAGCUCUCCUGGGCAUUUUAUACUUGAAGCUGAGGGAUAAGGGCACACUCAAGAUGGAGGCUGAUCAAAUUACAGUUACUGUGAGGACAAUGCUGUGGCUCUGUAAUCCAAGCUGUUUUGUCCAUCACAUGUAGCCUCUUUAUUGUGUAAAUGAGCACAAAAAUGUGGUGUCCUUUUGAGAAUUAGACUGCAGUUCCAUGUUAUGAAUCUUACAGCAGCAGAUCCACAAAUCCCUCUCCCACCUCUGCUCGUCUCUGCCCGCACGCAAGAGGCUGCUGCUGUGCCAGCUUCAUGGCUUGUGUUCCUGGGAUCUGUGAAAAUGAGCUGGCUAAGAAAGAGAUAAGUUAUAGCAAUAAAUGCAUAGAAAAAUAGAUAAAUAAUAGAAAAAAAGGAAUUAUUUAGAACCAGAUCAUUUUAUAUCUCUGUGUUAGCUGAGCUGGUGCAAAGGGAGAGGGGUAACCAGGCUUUCAUGGGGUGGCAGGGAGGAGCAGAGGGAAUAAAAACUUCAUAACUAAUGCUUCUGUCAAGGGAUUGAAAAUGUCAUACUCCACCCUAAAUUAGUAGGGAUGGGACUCACCUAACUUUACUAAAAAAAUGAUGUAUAUGGGCAUGCCUGGAAAGAGCAAGCUAGAGCAAGAGAGAGAGAGAUCUACCCUGUCCUAUGAGUCAGCUCCCUCUUUCUGUCCCUCUAAGGGAGUCCAGCUGCCCAGCUUAACCAGAUGACUAACUUUUAGAUGGUGAAAGUUAGCUCAAAAGAAGCCUACUCUUAUCUUGUAAAUAGUUUGUAUAUUGUCCAAGUAAAUCCAUUGAUGGGUUUGAUUUUAAACAGAAUGUUUAAGUACCUAAUGUUGAUCUAUUUUUGGCUUUAGUUAUUUUAAUGAUGGAAAAAAAUCUUGUCUGUAGGUUACAUUGUUAAAGAAAUACGAACAUCUUCCAUUUUGUGUCAUUAGUUGCCAAAUAUAGUUUCUUACCAACACCGCAAAAUCAUGUUCUGCUAAAGGAAAUUCCGUAAAGACUUGCUGUCUCCCAACAUCACCUCCCUCUUCUAUUGUUUCUAGAAGGGAUAAAACUCUGGAGUGCUUUAAGCAAAAAUGACCAAUGCUUAGUUUUGUCAUUUGAACAUAGCUUAACCUCUUCUCUAAGCACAGUUUGCCUUCAUUCUCCAAUGAGGGAUAAACCAAAGACAUAUUAUAUUAGAAAGCUGGAAGAUCUUGCCAAAAGAGUCAUUUUAUCUAAUCUGGCAUCGUAAUUGCUACAGUGACUUUAUCAUAAUUUCAUAUUUACUGGAUAUAGUAACCAUAUGCAGUGAAUGUGCUACAUGCUAUACUGUAUACAGCAAAACCAAGGCAGAAUUAAGGUUAUGUAGGUAUUGCAGUUCUGUACCUGAACAAGUUUGGGUAUCACUUCGAAGUACUUCUUGGGUUUAAUACUUUGUUUUGAAGUAAUUAAACCACAGUGUAAAAGAAUUGUAAAAGACAAAUGUGUAGUUAAUCAUACAGCUGUCUUGAUACAGUUUUUGUCUGGCAAUUAUUACAGCACUGUAAUACUGUAACUCAGUGUUAUGGUAUGUAAUAUGUUAUUGUUACCUGGCCAUUGAUCAGCUGAAGCUGGUCUUGGUUUCCAGGCAAAAUCAACACAAUAAGUCCCCCACUGACCAGAAGGGCUGUGUUUGAUUUACCAUAAUCACAAUAAAGUUGCCUGUUCAUAACUAUGGGAUUACUUCAACUUUACUCAUAUUUAUACCCUGCUUAUUAACUAGAUCCAUUUGAUUACUAUUUUCUUAGCUGGAAUAACCACAGAUACCUUUAUUGGACCCCGAGUUGUUGCCCAACUCUUUUAAUAACCCAAAUGCAGUGUUUGUGAUCUCCUGCAGGUGAGGAACAGAGUUAUCUAUUAAAAAAAAAUGUCUACGCCAUUUGUGUGCCACCAUUUGAGAGAGUUUGGAAGGAUUUGGUGUCUUGAAAGUGCAGAUCACCUGCCUUUUGAGGAGCAGACUUGUCAAAGUGAAUGUUUAAAUCUUAUUUGUUACCUUUGAAAAUAUAGGUCAAUCUAUCUGAAUUUACUGUCCAUUAAUUAGUUUUUGUGAUUCUUUCUUUCUUUUUUUUUUAACUUUGUGUAGAAGAAACGGGAGAAACUAACCAGUUUUCAUGUGCCCUUUUUGUUGUUUGAAACUUUGGGUUGUGUUCCUUUCCCAUCCUAGAUUCAGCAUAAGCUGUGAUAUACAGGUUUUCCCUCCCCUUUCUUUCCCAUUAGUCGCUCUAUUAAAUAUGUUAAUUGUAGUGUCCCAGAUUACUGGGAGCUCCUUAAAUCAAAGCCAUGAGACUUGGUAGCAAGGCGCUUAGCUAUGAGCUUUGCUGGUGGUAACUGCGUCAUAUGAGUAUUCAUACAGAACUGAUUGAGCCCUUGAGGCCAGAUGCUAGAGCUGUUUCGUGCUGCUGUGGCACCAUAAAGCAAACUUGAAUUGAGUUUACAGGUCUGCUUGAAGACUCUUUCCAAGCAAGGGAAUCCUACCAUAGUGGCUUUGAUGCUGUCUAGGGGCCGUUCUGUCCCUUGCAAAGCCCAGCCAUCACUGGAAGGAGGCAAAUAAAGCUGGAAGAUACGGGCCAGUGAUUUGGACAGGCGGGUCAGUCACAUUCACUGCGCACUGAAUUCAGGGAAGCUUGGAUGCUUUCACUGGCCACUGUUUUUUUUAAAGUUGCAGAC